rnacentral:rRNA from 1 species
UACAGAGGUCUCGAGCGUUGUUCGGAUUCAUUGGGCGUAAAGGGUGCGUAGGUGGCGGGGCAAGUCAGGUGUGAAAUCCCGGGGCUCAACCCCGGAACUGCAUUUGAUACUGCCUUGCUCGAGUACUGGAGAGGAGACUGGAAUUUACGGUGUAGCAGUGAAAUGCGUAGAUAUCGUAAGGGAGACCAGUGGCGAAGGCGAGUCUCUGGACAGUUACUGACACUGAGGCACGAAGGCCAGGGGAGCAAACGGG